rnacentral:rRNA from 1 species
UGGGGAAUAUUGCACAAUGGGGGAAACCCUGAUGCAGCGCCGCCGCGUGAGCGAAGAAGGCUUUCGAGUCGUAAAGCUCUGUCCUAUGAGAAGAUAAUGACGGUAUCAUAGGAGGAAGCCCUGGCUAACUACGUGCCAGCAGCCGCGGUAAUACGUAUGGGGCGAGCGUUGUCCGGAAUUAUUGGGCGUAAAGGGUACGUAGGCGGUUUUUUAAGUCAGGUGUCAAAGCGUGGAGCUUAACUCCAUUAAGCACUUGAAACUGAAAGACUUGAGUGAAGGAGAGGAAAGUGGAAUUCCUAGGGGAGCGGUGAAAUGCGUAGAUAUUAGGAGGAAUACCGGUGGCGAAGGCGACUUUCUGGACUUGUACUGACGCUCAGGUACGAAAGCGUGGGGAGCAAACAGG